CCUACGGGUGGCAGCAGUGAGGAAUAUUGGUCAAUGGACGAGAGUCUGAACCAGCCAAGUAGCGUGAAGGAUGACUGCCCUAUGGGUUGUAAACUUCUUUUAUAUGGGAAUAAAAUGUUCCACGUGUGGGAUUUUGUAUGUACCAUAUGAAUAAGGAUCGGCUAACUCCGUGCCAGCCGCCGCGGUAAUACGGAGGAUCCGAGCGUUAUCCGGAUUUAUUGGGUUUAAAGGGAGCGUAGGUGGAUUGUUAAGUCAGUUGUGAAAGUUUGCGGCUCAACCGUAAAAUUGCAGUUGAUACUGGCAGUCUUGAGUACAGUAGAGGUGGGCGGAAUUCGUGGUGUAGCGGUGAAAUGCUUAGAUAUCACGAAGAACUCCGAUUGCGAAGGCAGCUUACUGGACUGCAACUGACACUGAGGCUCGAAAGCGUGGGUAUCAAACAGGAUUAGAUACCCUAGUAGUC
rnacentral:rRNA from 1 species